rnacentral:lncRNA from 7 species
AGAACCCCCACCAAAGUGAAGGGAAGACUUGAGGAAUCCCUGGAGCAGUUUUGGGAUGCUUGAGAAAUAAGAAGAGAUAUUUCAAGACCAGGGACAAAAACAAAACUAAAGUAACAAGAAAAACACCAGAAAGCAAGUGAGAAUGCUGCAACAAAAUCUGGCUGCGGAUGAAACAUUCUUGCAGCAGCCUUGGAGGCUGAAUGUCAGCUGAGGAUCUCAAAAGUGAGGGGGAGCAGCAAACGCCUUGUCUCAAGACCCUUUUUCAGGACCUGAGGGAAUGGUGCUUCUACUGCAGCAGUGCAGCAAAAACUUGCAUGCAAGGAGAAAAUAUUCUACCUUGGCAUUUGGAGCCUCACUAACAAGCAGCCAGAGAGGAGCGAUGCCAUAUAAAACUUUAACUUCUAAAUAUGAAAUUUUGGAGAUUGCAAUGAGCAGAGAGUGCCAGCUCCAUGCCAGCAGUAGGGAGGAGGCAGAGGGAACGCCAUCAGCUCGCUACUUGCUGCUGCACAGAGCACAUAGCCCCAGGAGUUUCUCUGCCCGGUGUCCUGUUACCACUUGAAUCAAGAUGUGAAAGCCAAGCCAGCUUAUUUUUAGCACAAUUUGGACCUAAAGAAGCAAACGCUGGUGAAAUAUGCAGUACUGACAGCCCUGGAAAAUCUUUAUUCAUCUGCAGCACAGGAAGCAGGGAAGGAUGCGAGAAAGCAGAGCAAUCCCAAGCUACAAACCAAGUCUCUCAGCUUCUUGGACUCAGCCUCUCUAGCACUGCACAGAUCCUGGCGGUAGCUGGGAGAGGGUUUUUCCACGCUCAGAGCGGGCCUGGCACAGCAGGGAGGAGUGCGGCGUGCCGCAGAUUAGGACAGCCUGCAAGCCUCCAGCUGAGCUCACUACGUCUGUUGGAGCUCAACUGCAGCAACGGUGGGACUGUAAAAAUGGGAGAGACUCGGAAAACUUGAGUAUCAGAGCCCUGCUCUGCUAAGCUCUGAGAGUUUACUGUGUUAAUACAACAUUGGAUCUGUGCAACUGGGCGAUCCAGUGGCACUGAUGCUGCCCUGUACCACCUCUAGCAGUCACUCAGACCCUCUGCUCUGUGGAGGAACCCAAAAAGAGGACACUUAUGACACAACCAUCAUGCCAAGCAGGCAUGUUUCUAUCCCCAUCUCUUAGGACCCUGCUGAAAUCCUGCAGUGCAUUUAGGUAUCUUCAGGACCUGAGCUGGCUGGGGGCUGGUAAAUCACUGCAGGCAGCAGUUGGCUGGAGUGGAGAUGGGGCCAUGAAGGGGAGCAGAGCAGCAAAAAUGGGUCCCUUCAACUUUUGGGGCACAGGUAGGAGGUCCCUGAAUGUGUGCCAGGAAUGGUAGCUGGGGUUGUUGAAGGUGACCACAGGAGAUGUCCCCUACAUCUCUCUGCCAGGAGAAUGCGCACACAGUGUUAACACGCUUGUCAUCAGUAGGUCUGAAAUCCAACCACGGACAGCUCAGGGAUCUGACAAUUGUUUGUGUCUGCCUUGAGACAAAUACCUCAUUGCCCCCUUUGCAAAUUUGCUUCUCUGCUGCGCGUGUGUUUCGAGUUUCCUCAUGCAAAACCUGCGUGGGUGUUUGGAUAUGUAAUGAGCACAUAGUUCAGGAUGAAAACAAGUUGCCUGGAAGAGCCAAGUAACGCCAAAAAAAUGAAAGCAAUACAAACAACAACAUGGCACGCAGCCAUACCAGCUAGACCGUGGGCCAGCCGGAUCUCACGUACACUCCGGAGCUGCAGAGCCGAUCAGCUGUUGGAAAAAGAGACCUUUAAAGACAAGUGAGAGGAAAUAGCAUUGGCAGUGCAGGCCACAGCAUGUUCUCUUCCAAAGCAGGACAGAGCCAAGGACAUGAGGCAGAGCUAUAACAUUUGGGGUCUUGUUGCUCAGCAAGUCAAAAACCUCCAGUGGGUUGUAGUUGUGUAAGCGCCUAUUGUUUUCUGAGCAGAAUCAGAGCACUGGCUUGAUCGGGUAUUGUCACAACAGAUUUUGGCAAUGCUUGCUCACCUAAGUGAGCUCCCUCUGCAAAAUGAAGCCCUGGCUUUAACUCAGUGCUCUGUGCUGGGGAAAUAAACCUGCCUGCCUACACAACGCUCCAGCUGGAGAGUAUCUUCCAAGACCUCCCAUAGGGUCUUCAAAGAAAAACACCAUUAGCCUAUGGACCAGAGCAGGACCAGAGCAAUUCCAAAAAAUUCCCCAAAGUGGCCUCACUAAUUAUUAUCUCAUUUUGUUAACGUGAAUGGGGAAAAAAUUGUGGUGAAGCUGUUUGAAAUGCAUUUUCUGCAGAGCCUGAAUGAAUUUCUGUAUAAAAAGAGGGGUGAGAGCAGGCCUCAAAGACAGGUUAUGUAAUUUGUCCCUUGCUCUCAUCCAUUUGGAGCAAGGGAUCAUCUGUACCUCCUUAUAGCA